CCUACGGGCGGCUGCAGUGGGGAAUAUUGGACAAUGGGCGAAAGCCUGAUCCAGCCAUGCCGCGUGUGUGAAGAAGGCCUUCGGGUUGUAAAGCACUUUCAGUGGGGAAGAAAGCCUUGGGGCUAAUACCCUCGAGGAAGGACAUCACCCACAGAAGAAGCACCGGCUAACUCCGUGCCAGCAGCCGCGGUAAUACGGAGGGUGCGAGCGUUAAUCGGAAUUACUGGGCGUAAAGCGCGCGUAGGCGGUCUGAUAAGCCGGUUGUGAAAGCCCCGGGCUCAACCUGGGAACGGCAUCCGGAACUGUCAGGCUAGAGUGCAGGAGAGGAAGGUAGAAUUCCCGGUGUAGCGGUGAAAUGCGUAGAGAUCGGGAGGAAUAUCAGUGGCGAAGGCGGCCUUCUGGACUGACACUGACGCUGAGGUGCGAAAGCGUGGGUAGCAAACAGGAUUAGAUACCCGUGUAGUC
rnacentral:rRNA from 1 species